rnacentral:piRNA from 1 species
UGACUAUGACUACUUUGUUAUGACUAUGU